UCAACCCUCAAGCCUGGCUUGCAGUUGAGCCGUCAGCCCGUCACACCGGCUGGCUCGAAAGACAAUGGCAGAGUCGGGUCGGACCCUGGAUGCACCGAGCUUUCACGAGCACGCAUUGAAGUGGCCGGACGACGCUUGGCCGACAACCCCCUAUUUUUCAA
rnacentral:misc_RNA from 1 species